UGGGGAAUCUUGCGCAAUGGGCGAAAGCCUGACGCAGCGACGCCGCGUGAGGGAAGACGGCCUUCGGGUUGUAAACCUCUUUCAGGAGGGACGAAGCUACUCGGGUUAAUAGCCCAGAGGGUGACGGUACCUCCAGAAGAAGCCCCGGCUAACUACGUGCCAGCAGCCGCGGUAAUACGUAGGGGGCAAGCGUUGUCCGGAUUUACUGGGCGUAAAGCGCGUGUAGGCGGCUACACAGGUCCGUUGUGAAAACUGAAGGCUUAACCUUCAGACGUCGACGGAAACCGUGUGGCUAGAGUCCGGAAGAGGAGAGUGGAAUUCCUGGUGUAGCGGUGAAAUGCGCAGAUAUCAGGAAGAACACCAAUGGCGAAGGCAGCUCUCUGGGACGGUACUGACGCUGAGACGCGAAAGCGUGGGGAGCGAACAGG
rnacentral:rRNA from 1 species